CAUAAUACCUGACAAAAACUUGUGUUUGGCCAACAUCAAACAAAAAAUGUUAAAAGUGAUGUAUAUGUACAGUACUUAACUGAUAUUUAAACAAAACAAAAUCAUUCUAUACAUAGAGAGGAUGUCACUAUGUUAAUUGUCUGUAAGAUCGGUGUGUACCAGUGUCGUAAAAUGCGUAUUCUUUACAAGGGAGAAUAUUCUUGUUAUCUUGGCAAAGAAACAAAUGUUAAGGGUUGCUUCCCUUGUGAACAGUACAGUGUAGUACAUGUAUCACAUGGAACUAUCAGAAUAUCUCGGGCUUCGACGAUUAAACGUACAUGUAUACACAAUUUACUCAGAAAAGUUGAGUGAUAUCUCCACAGAAAUAAUGGCUUUAAAGGCAUUUUUUCUAAGUUAUACAAUAAUAAUGACCACUUGUCCCGUCGGACUAGCAAAUUCUUUAUUUACUUGUCCGGACUAACAAUUUGGUUGUCCCGGACAGUCGGACUACCUUUAAUGUCGAGCCCUGCUCCCGACGAACACUCAAAUCUGGGAAUCCCAGUGAUUCUAUAUAUAGCUCUAAAUUACGUCAUGGAAACCGGGCAACUAAUCGUAUUUAUCAUGUGACUAUAUUACUGGAUUCCGGUCUUGCGCGAGAAGGGUGUUUCGUCAAUUAAUUACCGGAAACCAGUCGAAUUUUCAUCCGGGUUAUGUGAAAGCCAAGAUAUAAACGUUAAAACAGAAAAAGUCUCAAAAUUGGCGUUCAUACACGAACAAAAUAAAACGUUUGGACUCGGAAAAUAUUAAUUGCGUUGACGCAUUUUUUAAGAAUGAAUCAUCAAAAACCGUUGAAACCCAGCAGGAUUCGGAGUAACAUGUAAUCAACAUCGAUUAAUACUGUCAGAUUAUUGUAAAAGUGAAAGUAGACAAUCGGCAGCUGCCGCACCUUUCCCUUCCAAUACUGUAGCAGAUCUAGAUCGUCAACCCAUUCAUCUUGAAAUUGAAAUCAUAAUAUUGACAUCAUUCCCCGGCCCGGGUUGACAUUAUUAGAUCUACACCUGCAACUUUAUUUAGGACUUUGACUUUAAUAUCAUACUUGUUCAUGUGUUAAAGAACAAAAAGGUCAGAGACAUGCCUCUUUUUCUAAAAAAAACACCUGAAGUCUGUAGAGGGUAAUACCAGCUCUUCCUCCACUGACUUUGUAUCAAAAUCACUAUAUGAAAACAUCUGCAACCAUACAACCACGCAUUGUUACCAAAUGACCAGUGAUGGUAACCAUGGUAACUUCAUCACAUCUGAAGGUAACCAAAUAACUAUUGAUUGUAACCAAGCAACAACUGAGAGUAACCAUGCAACAUAUGCUGGUUACCAAAUUAUCUCAGAUGGUAACCAAGCAACAGCUGAGAGUCACCUUACAACCAAUGUUGGUUACCAAGUAAACAUCGAUGGUAACCAAGCAACAAGUGAUUGUAACCAAGCAAACACGAACAGUAACUUGGCAGCCCUUGAAACUAGCAUAGUGACCACUAACUGGACACAUGGUGUGAUCAUUGACAAUGCUGCUCCAGAAAAUGUGUGUGAUGAAGGAAGUGGAUAUCUCGACGAUGAAACCCUGCAUGUGAGUCUGAAAGGUGGUACUGGUCAGUCGCUGACGCUGAUCAACAAGCGCAGGCUGGAGCAGAUGACCCAGGGAUCGGAAGUCUUGGUCGUGGAACACAAGAAGCGCAGCCACCAGUGUUAAAUCUGUCAAGCCGAGUUCACGCAGAUCACAGAGCUGUAUCCGACACCGUGUUACCCACAAUGAGGCCGCAAGCUCCCAUGUUCAAAUGUAACACGUGCAAUUUGACCUUCAGAGAGCCGCUUGACCUUGAGAAACAUCGGCAGCUGCAUCUCGACCGCAGGGUAUACAAAUGCUGUAUCUGCCAAGACACGUUUUCUGACCUCUACAAUUUCCGGUGUCAUCUGAGAAUACACGACAAGAUUGCCACCUACACCUGUGACAUGUGUCCCUUUAUGGUGUUUGGAGAGAGGAAGCAGUAUAUCAGCCACCUAGAGGACCAUGAGCUUGCCAAGGACUCGUACAUACCUGGACAUACCCUACGUCUCCCAUGCUUUGUUUGCAAGAAGGAUUAACCUGACAGGGCUUCGCUGCGAAAACACCAGAACUACUACCACUCAGAGAAGUGCUUUAAGUGCGCGAUGUGCGGGAAAGCCUUCGUCGAGCGUGCAAAGCUACAGCGCCAUCAAAUAACGCAUACAGGCAAGAAAGAGUUCCAGUGUACGUACUGCGAUAAGUCAUUCGGGCUGAAGCACAAUCUCCUGGCGCAUAUGAACAUUCACACAAAGUACAAGCCUUGGGAAUGCAGUAUCUGUAGGCGGAAGUUUGGACAGAAAGUUUGCCGGAACCGGCAUUUGAAAGUGCAAGAGGGGUUCUCGGUGGAAUAUUUGUAAACUGGUUGAGGCAAAAGCGAGUUACAUUGAUUACUUAAAACAGUGAAAAUAAUUCAUAAAUGUCAUUGGGACAUGAUCCUUUUAAACGGACCCUGUUUAGAUAAAGAAAACUGUCAAUAGAAGUUAAGUGAUUUUGGAUUUAAGAUUUACGCCUUGACUGGGUUUUGAUAAGAAGGGACUUCCUUUAAACAAAUAAUACCAUUAAAGCGGAGUGUUGUCCCUAGUUAGCCUGUGCAGACUGCAGAGGCUACCCUUGGAAAACACUGACGCAAAUGCAUGAAGCCCCAUUUGCCCAGAAUUGGCUCCACAUUCAGGAUUACUUAAACCAAAGUCUGAUUUUUUCCAUUGUAAUUUUUCUUGAUAAAGCAGGGUCUGUUCAGAUGGACAUUGUCCAAAAGCCUUUAACUUUAUAAACAAUUGAUAUCUCAAAUUGCAGAUUUUGUUUCUUAGUGUUGAUGACGACUGAAAGAUUGUAAUGUUAUGAAAUAUUUUUCCCAUUUGAGAUGACAUAUUAUAGAAUAUACUUUUCUCGAUUGAUAAUUUUUUCCAAAUCCUCAAAUGCAUUAAAAUACAGACCUAAUUGUCAAUCUUGAAUGACUUAUUCGCCAAUUUAUAAUAACAUCAUUUAAAUAUCAAAUAGAACAAUUUAUCAUUCAUAACUGCCUUUUUGAAAUUUCUCAAAUACUAAGAUAUUGCAUGCAAUAUUCCUCAUUGAUUGGUAGGGGACUUGUUUCCAAUGGAGUAAUUCAAUAUAAAUUUAAAGUUAGCCUGAUAUGUGUUGUAGGCUUUAAAGCCCAUAAACACUCAAAAUCAACGAAUAUUUCGUACAAUAUUUUGAAAAAUAAAGUUGACGCAUAACAAUUCAAUGUUUCUUAUAGCAAUAGCCAGAAUUUCAAUGCCAGACGUGGUCUUAUUUUUGUAUGUCACAAUAUACCGGAUUUUAUGUGAAUUUCUGACUACGAAAUAUUUUGCGAAAUAUUUGUUGAUUUUGCGUAUUUAUGUUACUUCGAACCAUGCAAUUGUUCUUGGGCCUAGCUAAAGAUAUUUUAUCAUGACAGUUUCACCUCACCUUAAUCUGAAUUGAUGACGACAUGAAAAGAAAGUUUGAAAUUGUGUUUAUAUAAUGUAAAAAAUCAUGUUUAUAUUAUUAACAUCAAACAAAUUAGGAAUUGAAAACAGUUUGGGAAAAUCAUGAAUUUGGGAAAUGGCUGAUUUGAAGCCAUUAUAAUGUUGUUUGUUGUUUUGUUAAAAGACUGUUGACAGAACUGCUCAAACAAAUGUAUGUAUUUUCUGUUCUGUAGUAAUUAUUAUUUAUGUUAUAUUCCUCUUCUGAUGUUUCUGAAGUUUGAUUUGACGUAACUUUUUCAGAGCUUUAUUUCAAAUAUAAUUGAUUUAAACAUUGCUGUAUAGAUAUCAAAGUGCCAACUACAAGAACUAUAGCCCUACACUUGCUUGUUAUUACCCUUUAUUGUAUUUGUUUGAUGUAACUUUUCAGGGCUAUAUCUCAGAUACUAUACACAAUUGCAGCAUGAAAAUUCAUGGGUGUAUAGAUAUCAAUGAAGAGAAAUGCCAUGCACAAGAACUAUAGCCAUAAACUUUCUUGAAAAGUUAUUAACUUAUGUUGUCUUUGUAUGAUGUAACUUGAGUAUUUCUGGAUAUAAAAUUAUUUUUAAGUUAAGACCAAGAUUGAGAUUGAGGGUUUGUUUUAACAACUUUCUUUGCAAAAUCUUAAGUUUUACUAACUAUCUUACCUAUUGUUGUGGGUGAUUGACAUUUAAUAUCAACGGUUAAAUAGUAUUACUUCCAGAAACCAAACUGUUUGUCCUACCAGCAAUAAUUUAAUGGAUCCGAAAAUAAGCUGCAUAAAUUCAAGUCCCUAAAAUCUUGUUUAUCUGCAAAACUGGAACUUUUAGACAUAAAAUUGAUGCAUUAAAGCUUUUAGAGCAGGUGUUAUAUGAUACAUCCGGACAUUCAAGUACUUCAUAAGAUUUUACCAAGUGGCUUUUAAAUACCGGCCCUCAAUUUUGUACUUAAAACUCUUGGCCUUAGCGUAAAAAUAAUUUUAUAUCCAGAAAUACAUAGGUCAAUUAUGUCUCAUAUUAUACUUCAUAACAUUAAAUUUUAAGAAAUAAAAUAGCAAUACACA